UAUCUUCUCUGCAAAGGACCUCAUACGA
rnacentral:piRNA from 1 species